rnacentral:rRNA from 1 species
AUUGAACGCUGGCGGCAGGCCUAACACAUGCAAGUCGAGCGGGGUUUUCGGACCUAGCGGCGGACGGGUGAGUAACACGUGGGAACGUACCUUUUGGUUCGGAACAACUCAGGGAAACUUGAGCUAAUACCGGAUGAGCCCUUAGGGGGAAAGAUUUAUCGCCGAAAGAGCGGCCCGCGUUAGAUUAGCUAGUUGGUGAGGUAAAGGCUCACCAAGGCUACGAUCUAUAGCUGGUCUGAGAGGAUGAUCAGCCACACUGGGACUGAGACACGGCCCAGACUCCUACGGGAGGCAGCAGUGGGGAAUCUUGCGCAAUGGGCGAAAGCCUGACGCAGCCAUGCCGCGUGAAUGAUGAAGGUCUUAGGAUUGUAAAAUUCUUUUACCAGGGACGAUAAUGACGGUACCUGGAGAAAAAGCCCCGGCUAACUUCGUGCCAGCCGCCGCGGUAAGAC